rnacentral:rRNA from 1 species
UACGGGGGGAGCAAGCGUUGUUCGGAUUUACUGGGCGUAAAGGGCGCGUAGGCGGCACCGCAAGUCGACUGUGAAAUCUCCGGGACUUAACCCGGAAAGGUCAGCCGAUACUGCGGGGCUAGAGUGCAGAAGGGGCAACUGGAAUUCUCGGUGUAGCGGUGAAAUGCGUAGAUAUCGAGAGGAACACCUGCGGCGAAGGCGGGUUGCUGGGCUGACACUGACGCUGAAGCGCGAAAGCUAGGGGAGCGAACGGG